CGCUCUGCUUCCCAUUGGACACAGCGAGGACGCGCGGCUAUGGUUAAGUUUCGCAGUGUUGUGAACCUCGUGGCUCUUUGCAGACCGCAAAUUUAGCAAAUUGGUGAUUCGUCUUCCAUCUCUUUACAUCUAAAGGUGUGAGUGUGACAGCGUUGGGGGAUGCACGGGAAGGGAUUUCCCUUGUGCAUACUUACAGACCGGCUGUGGCUCUCCGCUGUCGGUGUAAAGUCCUGUAACACUGGUUCAAGUGGAGUACAGAUGUUGCAGAAGGGGGUGCGGUUCUAAACAUCACGAUGAGCAAACUGCGGGACAGACUUAACGUUUGUAAAUAUUAAAUAGCUAGCGAGCUUUGUGCGAAUUAGAAGAACAAAGCACCCAGACAAUCUGAUAAAGUACAUCUUGAUAAAGGUGUCCUGCACAUCUGGGCCUUGUAGUAUUUAGAGAAUAAAGGACCCAGAAGAUCUGAUAUCCUGCAUUUGGGGGGGGCAUACCCUGUUACCAGAUCUGCUGACUUGGCAAAGGAACAUAAGAACUGCCCCCUUCUAGAAGCAGAGCUCCUACGCACUGAGCACGCGUGAUAAAAUAACCCGUUAACUGCAUGAACUCACUAACCAUACAUUUGUAGAGGAAAGAACUUGGCGUGUAAUUACCUGUAACUUUUUGUACCUGAGUGCAGAGGUUCCCGUCAGGCACCCUAAGAUCUGUGGAAACCCACCUAGCACCCAGACGUGUGCAACUCUGUAAUAAAAUCAAUGUCUCAACUUGAUGUGUGAGAUUGGCUCUUUGCAUGCCGCAUAACAGAUCUUACUUUUUGGACAACACAAAAGCAAAGUAUGACAGGCUUCAUUUUGUUUGUAUGCAUGCUGGCUUGUAUGGCAGUAUAUAUAUUUAAUAUUUAUCCUUGAUUAAUCUUGUGUAGAUAAAAACGUUCCUUUAAUGCUGACAAUAUUUGAUGAUACUCCACUCUAAAUAGUUUGCUUUUACUUUAGUCAUCCUGAUUGUAACAAGCAUGCACAAGUCCAGUCUCAAAAAAAAUAACUUAUAUAAUUCAUUAAUUCAGCUUGUCCUUACAUAACUGUACUUAUGAAACAAACAAACAAACCUAUAGCUACACGAUUGUCCACAUAACAAGUUUCAAAGCAAGUAUUAAAAUCUUGAUUUGUGAGAGAAAUGCAUUUUUUGCUUUAGUUGCCGUUGAAAUAGCUCAUGUUGUCCUACACUAUAAAUCUGUCAGCUCUGUGGAAUGUCAGCAGAGCACAAGCAUGAAACUUUUGAGUUUAGCAAAGUGCCAGGCUUAGAUAUUUUCAGUAAAUAAGGGUAGUUGACAAUAAUCACUUGUAGAGUUUCUGUUUCCUUAACUGUGGAAAGCAGGAAGUAAAUCUCAUCCAUUCGUUAUAGGGUAUAAGUAUGUAGUCUGCUGAUUUGUAGAGGUUUAGGACCAAUAUGUGGUAAAAUGCAUCUUUCUUCAGUCUUAUUUCAGUCACUCAAGUUACAGAAUAGAAUCACAGAAUCAUUUAGGUUGGAAGAGACCUUUAAGAUCAUCCAACCACAAACCAAACACUGCCAACCCCUUGUCUGAUGCAUCCUGUUUUAAAGGAAAAACCUGACCACUUCUUCUAAGCUCCGUUAUAACCCUGACCUAUGGUAUACAUUUCGCUGUCCUGAGGCUGCUCAUUUCUACAUAGUUCUAUUGCUAAGGGACUGAUGAAGAAAAAUUGUAAGAUUUUCAAUGCAAGAAAGCUCUGUGGUAAAGGAAGAAUAAAUCUGAAAGGUGUUGGGAACUGGCAGCUUGGCAUCACAGAGCAUAUCAAAGGCUGUGAGUUGUCUUUAAAAAAUGAGACUGUUUGUAAUACUGACAUUUCAUUUACAUGUCAGUGAGACAUCUGGUUUUGGGGAAGAAAAAGGUGAUGAAACCAGUGUCCUGUUUUUUCAAGCUGUUCUGCUUUUCAUCAGUUCACAUGACACUGUUCAUUAUUUUUCUUUUGAACAAAAUUACCUAAAAUAAAUCCUGUGGUUUCUGGGUUUCCUUUUUUGUUUCUUUAAAGUUUAUAUUCAAACAUUAGAAUUUUGCUGCAAGUGUUAACAGUCUUUGCAUUUCUACUGAACUGUGUAAUAAAGCCUGCUUUGUAAAGAUAAAUGCAAAGCUUGCAUAUUUUAUUGUAGUAGCAGCUAAAACGAGCAUAGAAAACUUAAGUCUGGGUGGCACAGUUGGAGUGUUUUAUUUUAAGAUAUUUGUAGACCAAACAUACAACAUCAGAAAGUAGUUAAGUGCUGUUGCGUACCAGGAAGUUGUAUUUAACUAUUGCUUUAGGUGGCUGCAAAUGAAAUAAGCUAGUCCCCUCCCAAAUACUGAAAAUUUCAGUGCAAGCAAAUCUAUUUCCUUCAGAUUGAUGGACAAAAGUGUUUAAGGCUCUUUAAGACUUGGGGAAGAAGCCGGUAAGAGCCAUGAAAAUAAAGAAGAGGAUGCACUGAAGAGCAUUGCAGCUUUACUGAUUCCUGAUACAGGAGUGAGGGGAGCACGAUCUGAUUGAAUGUUUUCACAAUUCAAGCUUCCAAACUCCUUCAAAAGAACCGGCAGUUGUAGCUAUUCUGCCCAGACGCUUAUACCCAACCUGUGCUGCUGUUACCACCACUCAGCUGUUCUUUGUGGCUGAGCUUGCAGCUCCCCAGCCUGCCCAGGUAUAGCAACCGACCAGCCAUGGACCCACCACCUCCAGGUCAGGUUGCAGAAGAGAGACCAAAGCCUGGUGAGAGCAUUUGAAGCCCAAGAGGAUUUAGAAGGAAUCGUGCCCCUGUGACUGAAGUGCUGCAGCACUGAUUAUGACCACUGUUGGGAUGCAGGCAUGUGUGAUAGGAGGAUGACGAUGAGGAAAUGGCGAAUGCAAACAUGCUUUCUACUGUAUCGUAUGUAUGACACCCAUCAACAGUUGCUGUCAUCCAAGCAACCUAGAUUUGAAAAUCUCUUCUCAGUUGCAUUGUUUUCUUCACUUUUGAUUUUAUUCUGCUUUCACUGGCACUUGGUUUGGUGUAAUUUUUUUAAUCUCAUGACUUCAUGACUAGAAAGAUCUUGUUCUACUUGCUGUUCUAAAGGUGUGAUUAGACAUCAUGACCUUGCAUAUAACAGGUUAGUUUGUUGCAGGAAUUCAGACAACAGUGGAACUGCUGGCAUAAUGAUGAAAAGGAAUAUAUGCUGAGUUUUGCUGCUCAUACGCUGAAGUAGGCUUCUGAUAAUUCAGUUCAUCCAAAAAGAUGAAAAUUUAAAAUAAUCCAAGUGUUUAGUCUGUACAUGCUGAAUAUACAACAGUUUUGUGUAUCUCCUCACCUACAUGUGACAAAAUAUUUUUGAGUAAUCCUUUCAUCCAUGAUUACCAAGAAUGUAUGAAACUGCAAAAUAAAUAAUUGUGUCAUUCAUAAAUGGCUAUAUUGUGCAGGUUGGGAUGUUACCUGCAUUGCUGCUAGGUUGAUUUGUGUGGCCAGAUUUGGCAGUCAAGGAAGGUGAUACUUCAUGCCUCAUGAGUUGUUGAGAUGAAGCCUGAACUCUUUUUUUACAGCUUCAAUUAAAAAUGAAGUAGCGGUUUCUCCUUGAGUAGUUAGCAGUUCUAGAGAUACAGCUAGAAAAAGAAAUAACUCAUAAACAAAUUAACAAAAACAACACCUCAAGCCCUAUUAACCACAGACUUCAGCAAAGGAAGAAUGUCCAGUUUCUCCUGUGGGACCUGCCAAGGACAGAAAGACAGAUGUGAAACCUGUUGUCGUACUGUGUCUACAACCAAGCAACGUACAGAACAGUUAGUGAAGCCAGCUGCUGCUUCUUUUUUAUUGCUUACAAUUCUCCUCCUUAGCUUGCAAGUUGCUAGAAACAGAGGCAUAGCACUUCAUGGAAGCUUUUGAAAAUAAAUAAUGAAAUGGAUGAUUAUGGUUUUCAAAUGCAGUAUUUUGAGAAAGCUAAGACUUGACUGCCUACUAUGGAUAAGCAGCUUUUCUCGUGAGGGGUUAUCUUUAAUGCGCAUUUAAGCUACCAGAAAGCAAUUCACGUGAUAGCAAAGACAUUCUAUACUAGUGGAGAACUGCAUAACAUUGUUUCCUCUGAUUUCCCUUCUUUUAUGCUGGAGAUAAAAUGAGGUAGAUAGAAUGAGGUGGAACGGAGAGAGCCCCCCUCGAUGUGCACGAAGAGUAUAUAACAAGUGAUUCUUUCCCAUCCUGCAGUGGUCUAGGUAGCACAGAAAAGUAACAAACUGGUGUUUAUUUUGUGAGUAUUUCAUGGCAUAUUAAAGGAAAGCACUGUUUAUAGUAAUCAUUAAGGUAAAAUCUGAAAAGCAACUAGGGAAGAAGCUCCGCUAUCCACCCAUUUCUUGUAUAAGCAAAGAGAAUAAGUAGAUUAAAAAGGCUAAGAUGUUAAAAUAAAUAUUUCAGCUGUAUUUUGGAAAUGUAGCUCAGCCUGUGGCCUGCUGAGGCCCUUGACUCCAGGUACAGUAGGUAAAAAAUGCAUACCAUUGAUCUAGGAAAAAAUCAAACACUGCAUGUCUCAAAUUAGGCUAUCAAAAAAAAAUUAUAUGCCCAUUUAAAUUACCCGUGUCUAUUAAAAGUUUGAAAAGGUUACAUUUUUCUUGUUUCUUUCCACUGUUGAUGCAGUGCGAUCGCAGCCACCUGUCAGAAGGCACGGGGCACGCUGAGAUUCUUGUAGAGUAGUAACACAUGUAUUAAAACCGCAGUCAGUUUAUGCACUGAGGAGAGUUGUGAAGGCAGUGACCAUCUUUCAACAGAUACAUGCAAGUACAGACAAGAAGAAAGGUGGUGUGAAGCAGUGUCUUGCCACAGUCAGUAUCCCUGGAACUUAACAGUUUUCUUGCCACUAACCCACAGCCAGAUCAUAGCUACCUAUCAGUGAUUUGCAACUAAGUGAUAUUUAAGUUCAAACUACACACAGGUAAGUGGCCUUAGCUGUAUCUUGGCAAGGUAAAGAAAGGAUGGGUGUGGCGAGUAAGUUCCAUGCAAUAAAGUGUCUCAUAUAUUCUUCUCAAAGCAAAUGUUUGUUGCUUAAAACCAUCCUAUUAAUAGCGGAUUUUAAUAUUUGUUUCUCAAGUUUUCAGACUGAGAAUAAGAUCUGAGAUCUUAUUCUACUGUAGAUUCUUGUAAUUUUUUUCCAAAAAAAAAUCCAUAUUUGUUUUCAUUUUCAACUUUUUUUAUUUAUUUCUGAUUUUUGUUAAAUCUUUCACCUUUUCAGCUUUUCUAAACUUCUCUAAGGGCACCUAGCCACAGUUCUUCAAAGACCAUAGGACUUAACACUCAUAUUAGAUACCAUCCCUACUUAACAGUGCUCAAAAAAGUGGUGAAUCCUGCAGAGUAAAAGGUAACUUAGCACAGUUUUAGGUCUUAGUUGCUUGACUAUCUUCCCUUCCUUGCCUUAAAGCAUGCUGUUUUCCUCUAGAUAACCUCUAGCUCACUGAAGAUGGAGACAUAAGCUAUGACUGCCUUUCAAGAGAUGGAGUCUGAGUUCUGCUUAACUGCAAAGCAGUGAAAUCUGCAUCAAGGUUGAGAGAAAAACACCAGUCAAAGACAUCACUUUGUAACACAACCACAAGGUACUUAACAAAACUUGUCUUUUAAAAAAGCUGGGCUGUAUGUGCAGGUGAAGACAAUAGCAGUGGAGCCUGCUUUGUGCCAAGCUGACCUGGUAUCUGAUGUCGGUAUUUGUGAGUUUUCCUUGCAUGCUCAAAUAGUUUAGGGGCAAGAAAAACAUAUAUCCUGGGUGCACAUUAGAGUUACAACACAGGCAGAGAACAAAGAAUCAGAAGUGAUCCUAAAAACAAGAGUUAUUACUAAGAUUUAUGAAUAGAAACCAAUAUAUGUUGUACUUGGAAGACUUAUGGAUGUGGAAACUGUGAGUUUUGUGUGUUGGAAAUGGCUUGAUGUAUGACUCUGGAGUUUUUUGGAUCCCUACACGAUAGUGGAGGUUGCAUUGGCAGGAGGUGAAGCAACCCACUGUGUCCCUUACCAGCAGCGCUGCUGACCAAAAGUAAAGAAGAUAAGGAGCUGGUGAGCUGGACUGAAUGAUACCCCAGAUGUUACCACUCCAAAAGUUACUAUAAGAGAAUGAGAGGAGGAGAUCAUAAUUGGAGCUCCUGCUCAGCUGGUCUGAGACCUUCACCAAUGUCAAUAUCACGGAUCCCAUCCCUCUGAGCACUGGAGCAUCCACAAAAACUUCACCUGCAGCAACCUCAUGGAAACUUUAACUAUAAAGACUUUAUCAGUGAACUCCAGACAGGUUGUAUAGUCCCUCA